rnacentral:lncRNA from 1 species
CAGGGCGCAUGCUCCGCUCGCUUUUUAUGAAUGGGGGGCCGGAAAGGAGCGCGUCGCGGGCUGCGAAGGUUGGAGCCGGCUGCGGCUUUUUAUGAAUGGAGGCAGGCGGCAGCUGCGCGCGCACCGUCCCCAGCCGGGCCCGAGCAUUCUCAGUGAAUACAGUAGGAUGGAGAUGAGAUGGGAUGCAGGGACCUUUUAACAUCCCAAAGCAUUUGAAGAUCACUGGGCCUUUCCUGUCCUUGAGAAAACAGCAACAGAAGAGGACACCUGAAACAACAACCUCCUCCCUUCCUCAUAUCUGUGCUGCAGCCAGAGCAGAGCCCAGGAAUGUAGAACGGCCAGCGGAUCCCCUUCCUCAAAAUAAAAGUGCAAUACAUACAUCUGUUGCUGCUGGGGAGAGAGCAGAGGUAAUACUUCAGCCUGGGAGAAUUUGCAUUAAACGAUGUAAUUGCGUCGACAGAUGCUCAAGAACAUGAGCUCACCAGUGUGUCUGGGUAGGUAGGAGACCCAGGAGAAGUUUUUAAAAUACAAGAGUAUUAAUAUGUAGAUACUACAUACAUUCGUUUUAUAAAUGAAGUUAUCAAACACCCUUGAUUUCUUGACCUGCUCUUGGCUCACUUGGCCUCUGCCCUAGCUAGCACUCUUUAUAACAUUCAAAGUCCUUGAGCUCUUUAAACAACUGCUCUUAGAAAUACUUUCAUCUUUAUCCAGGAAUGUGGAAACAUGCCUAAAAAAUCUUACCUAUUUGACAUGGAUAUUCAAUUUUAGUAUUAAAGUAGGUUUUUCAAAGAUUUCAAAGUCUGCUAUUCUAUUAUCCUG